rnacentral:lncRNA from 1 species
GCGCAAACAUGAGUAACAUGGCCCUGCUCUGGAGACUACUGGGAACACAAACACAGCCAUUUAAGACAUCUCCCUGCUUCUCCUUUGCCUUCCAUCAUGACUGAAAGUUGUCUGAGGUCUCCCAGCCAUGUGUCCUGUACAGCCUGUGGAACUGUCACGCUGAAUUCGGACACUGGAGAAGAGAAAGGAGAAGGCCAUUCUGGCUACCCUAGGACUCACAGACGACUUUAAAGAAGAAUCAGAAAAUGGAGACUGGGAUUGGAAGCAGAGAUCCGAUGGCCAAAUUACAGAGUCUGCCACUGAAGCUAACACACCUAUGGUUUCAGAGUAUUCUUUAGUCUCUUCCAACAUGUGAGGGCACAGUGAAAGGAAGGCCCUCUAUGGAGCAGAAUGUGGGCCCUUACCAACACUGAGUCUUUCAUUGCCUUGACCUUUAACUUCCCGGCCUUCACAACAGUGAGAAAUAAAUUUCUGUAGUUUAUAAGCCAA